rnacentral:rRNA from 1 species
AGUGAACGCUGGCGGUAGGCCUAACACAUGCAAGUCGAACGGCAGCACAGGAGAGCUUGCUCUCUGGGUGGCGAGUGGCGGACGGGUGAGGAAUACAUCGGAAUCUACUCUGUCGUGGGGGAUAACGUAGAGAAACUUACGCUAAUACCGCAUACGACCUACGGGUGAAAGCAGGGGACCUUCGGGCCUUGCGCGAUUGAAUGAGCCGAUGUCGGAUUAGCUAGUUGGCGCGGUAAGGGCACACCAAGGCGACGAUCCGUAGCUGGUCUGAGAGGAUGAUCAGCCACACUGGAACUGAGACACGGUCCAGACUCCUACGGGAGGCAGCAGUGGGGAAUAUUGGACAAUGGGCGCAAGCCUGAUCCAGCCAUAUCGCGUGGGUGAAGAAGGCCUUCGGGUUGUAAAGCCCUUUUGUUGGGAAAGAAAUCCAGCUGGCUAAUACCCGGUUGGGAUGACGGUACCCAAAGAAUAAGCACCGGCUAACUUCGUGCCAGCAGCCGCGGUAA